ACCCACUUUGUAACUCGAAUUGCCUCCCGUACGCAUUUCGUCUUUUCCAUGCCAUCCUUUGUUCUUGUUCGAAAACUCCAUAUCAAUGGCUCUUGCUACAUUCAUCAUUCUUCCUUUCGUAAGUGGGUUUACCACAUGCAAACUUCUUAUUCAAGCCCUAAUUUCCUCGUGCAAACCGUGAAUAAAGUAAGCAAAGUAUUGUUCGUGAUGUAAUUUGGGCACCUCAGACAUUAAACAUUCAAAUCUUUGAAUGUAAUCUUCCAUACUCCAUGUUUGUCGCAUGAUGUCAACUGCUCAAAUACACUUCCUUCACCCAAACCUCCAUAUCUUUCGAUCAAUUCUUUCUUCAAAUCCUCCCAAGUUAAAUCAUCGUAAUCAUUUAACAAUGCAUUGAAGAAAUGGAUCGUAGCCCCCUCCAUGCACAACUGGGGCAAAUUCACCCUCACUACCGAACUAGUUUCUUGGACCCUGAAAUAAAUUUCAGCUCUCGUGAUCCAACCGGCAUGAUCUUCUCCAUUGAACACAGGUAGUUCAAUCCUUCUAAAGAUUUCAAGUUGUUUCCACCACUAAAUGACUCCUUCUUCUUAGGCCCAACAGAGUUCUCUCCCUCCACCUGAGGCAUUUUCUCCCAACUUCGAGUCAUCAAUUCCACUAGUUUUGACUGGUUUAUUGCAACCUCCUUGUGCAUCAUCUCUAUCGCUGAUUGGUUUUGUACUGGUUUAUCGCAACAUACACAUUAAUGUAUUCAUUAUACUGUAAACGAAAACAUGAAAUAGAAGGAUAACCCAGAAGAGUUACGCUCCUCUCUAGAGCAACACCAAUGGUUCCUCUACUCUCUCAGCCAAAAAACACCCUUGUCUCCACACUUUGCAAAAGUGAAUAUCAAAUAGAAUCUCCCCCAUUCCCCUCCUGAUUUCUCUCUCCUCUAACUACCUGCAACCUCAACCCUUGGAUCCUUCUUUCUCACAUACACUUUUUCCCACCGUGCCUCGGUACCAUCAUGGGCUUGAGGUUGAGGUGUGAUCGGAGAGAUGUGAUUCUUGAUUUGGGAACUACUUUUCUAUUCUGCUAUGCUGGAGAAUUAUUGUUGCAACUUUAAUUACUUACAUUUUAGCAUACACAAACAUUCACAAAUUAAGUGUUUGUUGAAAGUAUUUGAGUUAAUUUGAGAAAUAAUACAAAUAGUUUUGCACUGAGUUAAUUUGGAAAAUAAUACGAACAGUUUUGCACUGUUUUAGGUGUCUUCGUUUUGCUUGCUUGAUAUAUUCUCUGCUCACAGUGAUUGUGUCGACCGCUUUCAACACUUGACACUGCAUUUGAGUAAUUCAAUUGAUGGUGGGCCACGUUGUUUUUGUCUGCGUGCGUGGUGGUUGCUGGCUAGAUGCAAUUGGGUUGAUAAGAGUGUUGCUUGGGGUUGCAAGUUACGUUGGUCUGGCUACCCAUGCUUAUAAGCUGAAGCACACAACGUGUUUGUGUUAUUGACUCAAUGAAGAUUAUGGAAACAAAAUAUAGUUUAGGCUCAUUUGCUGGCACUAAAAAUUUUUUGGCCUUGUAGUUUGGUUAAAAAUAGCUGGCUUCAAUUGGGAGGUUAUUAUAGUUUCCGUUGUUUGUGCUGAAAUUGCCUCGGCCUGGUAAGUUGGUGUUGUCAAUUAACGCAGCCCAAGCGUUUGAGAAUUUGAUGAAUUGAAUUGUUUUCCCUCAAGGUUUGAUGCGAUGAUGAAAGGUAAGCGACAUCAGCGUGGUGCAUUCAUGAAGUUGAAGGUGUUAUUUGAAUUGAGUCAGUGGUGGGUCCAUCUUUGAUCUGUUUCGGUGAUUGGUUCCUUCAUCCAAAGUUGGUCCAUUCAAAAGGCAAAGCAGCAUCAAUUACAUCCGUUGAAGUGGUUCGAUGUUUGUUUCAAUUUUGGUCUCAAUCCUCCUUAUUUACGGGAUAUGCAUAUUGCAUUUGUUCAUUUCUAAUUUAAUUAUAAGUUGGCACAUCAGAUGAUUUGGCUUGGUUCCCUUUUGCGACUGCAAACUUGCAUGAGGCCACAUGGUGCACGUGUUGGUGAUUCAUUCUUGUUCUAUUAGGUGGUAGUCCAUUAGUGUAGUAAUAUGUUUUAAAGCACCUGAAUUUCUCAUGUUUGAAGAGGCGCCAAGAGCAACAGUUGUUUGGUCCAAGCGAUGCCAACAACAACACCAACUUUGAAGAGUGCAAGUGUUAUUAUUGAUUCAUUAAAUAGUUUGGACAACAGCAAGAAUUCUGAUUUUUUUUUCUCAUGUGUUGCAACAACUAUACUAGUUUUUAUGGCAGCCAACUAAAUAGUUCAAUGAGCAGUAAACUUUCGUCCAACAGCAUCUGCAGUGCAUUUUUGGCAGCAACUACACUAGUUUUCGUGGCAGUAGAGUAGGUACCACUUAAUGCUUAAGGUGUUGUUACUUGGAGCGAUGGAACGUAUAGCUCCCAAGAGGUGCAGCAAUAUCCUAUAUGUUGAGACACUAAUACUGCAGUAGCAGGACGUUACUUGAAGUGAGAUUGUGACGAUUGGAUAUGCUAAAUUGUUUGCUGGAGUUAUUUCCAAAACUAGCAACCAUUUUCUCGAUUGUUGGUGGGACGCAAUUUAUUGCUGGCUUGGCAAACUACUACAGCAGUUUUGUUCUAUUGGUGGGUGGCUAUUGGUGUAAUUAGAAGCUGCAGAUUUUCAUCCAAGUAGAGCAACCAAACUCAUUCCGGUGGACUCAACUUUACAACCUUUUUGGUGUCGCUGCCACAUUCAUGAUUAAUUUUAAUUUGAUGCGGCUAGUGUUGAUGCGAUGGAGUGAUUUUGUUUCAGUAGUUGAUCAAUUGGAAAACUCACGGUAUACCAUAUAUAGAAGAAAAUUCCAAUCUUAAGUUGUUUGAAGAGUUUCCCAGGCGGUGCAAAGUUCUAGACUAAAAUUUCUGAUGCCAGAGGGGCACGCACUCCAUGCUAGUCCAGGCGGUGGCAAAAGCUGGACUAGUGCUUGGAAGCAACACAUCUCCGUUUUAAUUGGUGCAGUAGAUUUCGUUAAAGGUUGUGGCAAUUUUUGUCAUUGAGGUUAGCUCCUUGCUCCACUCGGUGCAGAAUUUGAAGCGUGGCAGCAGUUUCAUGCAUCCUUUGUUCAUUAGUGUUGAGGUUGAAGCGGUGCAAUUGACAAUUUUUUGGUGCAUAUUUUGAUUGAACAACAGUCCAUUUAGUGCAGUGAAAUUGGUUUAGAACUCAUUCGUGCCAGCAAGGGCUAUAAUUGGGUGGUUUGUCUCUAGAACAUGGCAAUUCGAAACCAAUUGGUUCAAGUCUGCUGCACAACUGAUUUUAAGGUGGCAACCAAUUUAGGUGGCUGUAAAUUGAUUCCAUUUGUUUUGAAUUCGGUGCCAAUAUCUAGUGCAAACCGUGGCAACCAUUAUGUGGAAAUUGUGGUGUAGGAAAACAGCAGCCAACACCUUGAGAGCAAUUUUCCCUAGUUUGGAGCCAAAGGAUGUUGCUGAAAUUGUGAUACGCUGGACUUGAAUUAUUUUCUGUUGGGCCCAAAAUCGCAUGUGCUUCCAACUAAUUAGAAUCAACCACACUUUCCUAAUUUCUUUGAUGCGUUUUGGAUCCGUUGCAGGCAUUUCGUUAUUCACUUGUUGGCUAAUUGCAUUGUGCUUUUGCUACUGUCUUGAGGUGAUAUUUGAUGUUGUUUGGGGUACAAAUUGUGUUGCUUUAGUCACUUCUCUAGGUCAAUUUGGGAUGCACUUUUUGCAUUUUGCUUUGCCUAAUUCUUACAAUUCAGAAUCAUUAAUUGUUCAUCCUUGCUUUACUUGAGUCUUUUGUCUAUCAUAUUCCUUUGAGUUUGCUUCCCUUAAGUUCUUGAUUGUAACACAAUGUACCUUGAGCUAAAUGUUUGGAAGUAUUGUUUGUGGAAGUUUGAAUGGAUCAUCACAAUUUAGCUUGA